rnacentral:tRNA from 1 species
GCUUUCUUAGUGCAUUAGGCAGCACUUCUGUCUCAUAAGCUGAAGUUCCUGAGUUCCAUCCUCAGAAGGGGGA